GAAAUAGUGAGAAAAUUUUGAACUAAAAUGUUAGGAUUUUUAUGUUUGUUUAUGCAAAAAUCUAAUCCAAAUCAAUUAUUUUUAGACGCAUAUUUAUCCAGCAAAAAAUGGGCAUGACAGAAUGACAGCGAGUCCUUUUGUCGCUAGAAUUUUGCUGAUUUUUGGUAGAAAAAGUGGUUUUUCUGUGCAUUAUUUGAGUUUAUUCUGUGUCUUAAUGCUGUUUUAAUCUCCUGAAAAUGAGCAUUACACACCAGCACAUAAAGACCGCCUAAAAGAAGAUACCUCGAUCACCUCUUGUAUAUUCCUGAUGUUUGGCAAUCAUUCUGGUUUACGAGUUGUUCAUUCUUUAUGUGAUUAAAAAUUUCCUACAACAAAUCAAUGGAUGUAUACAGUUCCAGAGCAGUACAUUUAUCCUUUUCAAGAUUACCAAAAAUGCAUCAGGAAAGUAUUUCUAAAAUUUUACUUCUCUUGGGUAAAUAUAUUUUAACUGGUUUUUAAUGUUCAUUAAGUUUUAUUUUCUCUGAAG